rnacentral:rRNA from 1 species
AGUUCGGAUUGUAGUCUGCAACUCGACUACAUGAAGCUGGAAUCGCUAGUAAUCGCGAAUCAGAAUGUCGCGGUGAAUACGUUCCCGGGUCUUGUACACACCGCCCGUCACACCAUGGGAGUUGACAACGCCCGAAGUCAGUGACCCAACCGCAAGGAGGGAGCUGCCGAAGGCGGGGUUNAUAACUGGGGUGAAGUCGUAACAAGGUAAC